rnacentral:lncRNA from 1 species
GAAGCUGAAGCCGAAGAAGAGGCAAUGAGAAAGGAGAAUGCCAUCUUGAAGUCUGCUUUGGCUCGGGAGAGAACUCAACGUAAAAGUGUUCUCCACACAAAAGAAGGUCUUCGAAAGGAGUUGGCCCAGACCAAAGAAGAUGUAAAAUCGUCCAAUGAAGAGCUGAAGUUAACCAAGGCCCAAUACCAAGAGAUCGUCAAGAUGAACGUUGAUUUGGUUCAGAGGAAUGAGAUAAGG